UGCUCUCUGGAGCAGAUCAAAUUUUCCAGUGAAAGUUACUCAUUACAAUUGUGCACUGUCGUAGUAGCUCGGGUUGGAACCGUAUGUUAGAAAUGCGCAUUCAAGCGAUACAAAUGCUUUAACAUAGGCGUUGUGAAACCGUAUGUGGCGUUACGUGCUGAAAAGUGUGCUGUUUAGGUUUAUGAGCGUGUUAUCAACUGACCCUUGCUCAGGGUGUGUUCCCUUACACUUAGAGCACAUAAAAUUCAGCUCAAACACGAGGAAAUCUGCAGAUGCUGGAAAUUCAAGCAACACACAUCAAAGUUUCCGGUGAACGCAACGGGCCAGGCAGCAACUCUCGGAAGAGGUACAGUCGACGUUUCAGGCCGGGAGCCUUCGUCAGGACUAACUGAAGAAGGAGCUAGUAAGAGAUUUGAAAGUGGGAGGGGGAGGGGGAGAUCCAAAAAGAUCCAAAAUAAAAUUCAGCUGCUUCGAUACGCUGGGACCAGACUCGGGAGUUGAGCACAAGAGAACCGGAAUCUGUUAACAUCCAUCUUCACAAUGGCUGAUGGAGCCGACGAGGGACGAGACUCAGUGGCGUCAACAUCAGGAAAACACCCGGGUCCGAGCUCAGUAAUCACCGAGCUCCUGGCAACCUGGAGC